UCAGGACGAACGCUGGCGGCGUGCCUAAUACAUGCAAGUCGAGCGAGCUUGCCUAGAUGAUUUUAGUGCUUGCACUAAAUGAAACUAGAUACAAGCGAGCGGCGGACGGGUGAGUAACACGUGGGUAACCUGCCCAAGAGACUGGGAUAACACCUGGAAACAGAUGCUAAUACCGGAUAACAACACUAGACGCAUGUCUAGAGUUUGAAAGAUGGUUCUGCUAUCACUCUUGGAUGGACCUGCGGUGCAUUAGCUAGUUGGUAAGGUAACGGCUUACCAAGGCAAUGAUGCAUAGCCGAGUUGAGAGACUGAUCGGCCACAUUGGGACUGAGACACGGCCCAAACUCCUACGGGAGGCAGCAGCAGGGAAUCUUCAACAAUGGACGAAAGUCUGAUGGAGCAACGCCGCGUGAGUGAAGAAGGGUUUCGGCUCGUAAAGCUCUGUUGGUAGUGAAGAAAGAUAGAGGUAGUAACUGGCCUUUAUUUGACGGUAAUUACUUAGAAAGUCACGGCUAACUACGUGCCAGCAGCCGCGGUAAUACGUAGGUGGCAGGCGUUGUCCGGAUUUAUUGGGCGUAAAGCGAGUGCAGGCGGUUCAAUAAGUCUGAUGUGAAAGCCUUCGGCUCAACCGGAGAAUUGCAUCAGAAUCUGUUGAACUUGAGUGCAGAAGAGGAGAGUGGAACUCCAUGUGUAGCGGUGGAAUGCGUAGAUAUAUGGAAGAGCACCAGUGGCGAAGGCGGCUCUCUGGUCUGCAACUGACGCUGAGGCUCGAAAGCAUGGGUAGCGAACAGGGUUAGAUACCCUGGUAGUCCAUGCCGUAAACGAUGAGUGCUAAGUGUUGGGAGGUUUCCGCCUCUCAGUGCUGCAGCUU
rnacentral:rRNA from 1 species